rnacentral:rRNA from 1 species
UACAGAGGUCCCAAGCGUUGUUCGGAUUCACUGGGCGUAAAGGGUGCGUAGGCGGUCGGGUAAGUCUGAUGUGAAAUCUCACAGCUUAACUGUGAAACUGCAUUGGAUACUAUCCGGCUAGAGGAAUGGAGGGGAGACUGGAAUACUUGGUGUAGCAGUGAAAUGCGUAGAUAUCAAGUGGAACACCAGUGGCGAAGGCGAGUCUCUGGACAUUUCCUGACGCUGAGGCACGAAAUCCAGGGUAGCAAACUUU